rnacentral:rRNA from 1 species
AGAGUUUGAUCAUGGCUCAGGAUGAACGCUAGCUACAGGCUUAACACAUGCAAGUCGAGGGGAAGCGACAUCGAAAGCUUGCUUUUGAUGGGCGUCGACCGGCGCACGGGUGAGUAACGCGUAUCCAACCUGCCCACCACUUGGGGAUAACCUUGCGAAAGUAAGACUAAUACCCAAUGACGUCUCUAGAAGACAUCUGAAGGAGAUUAAAGAUUUAUCGGUGAUGGAUGGGGAUGCGUCUGAUUAGCUUGUUGGCGGGGUAACGGCCACCAAGGCGACGAUCAGUAGGGGUUCUGAGAGGAAGGUCCCCCANAUUGGAACUGAGACACGGUCCAAAACUCCUACGGGAGGCA